UGCAACUAAGCAAAACUUUGUUCAUGAACUGAGAGGGGGUGGGGGUUGGAGGGGAAGUGUAAAAGAAGGCUUGAUGCAAGUUUGGAGAAACAAAGUAAAAACAAAUCAACAAAGUAAAAACAAAUCCAGUUUCAAGAGUGAAUCUGAGGUUAGUUUUUGUCAUCAAGUUAAUGUGUGGACAGAAUAGGAAAGAAAAAAGUUAAUGACAUUUUUAAGGAGGCAUAGAGCCUCAUUACACAUUUCAGGUGGCUUAGAGUUAACAGCUGUGUGUGGAAACCUUGUUAAGUAGAUUUUACUUCAGAUGAGCCUUGCAUAGUACUUUUAAAACUGUUGGUUUAACUGGUCUGUGCAGUUGCAUUUAAACCCUAAAGGUUUCCACAAGAUAAGGCAGUGAAAUGCUGGUGGGAACAUUGUGAGGAAAGAGGUUUUGGUCCCUUACCAGCAUUACCAUCAAUAUGAAUCAUAAGCCAUAGUCAUCACUACACAGAUGUCAGCAUUAGAAUCAAAUGUGAGGUAUUUUCUCACUUUUUUUUCCCAAUCUACUAGAAUAAAUGGAACGUCAAUGUCUUAUUUUAAGUUGCUAAUUUUAGCCCCUCAUUCUGUUAAUUUGAAUCAAUUUUGUAGCAUAAGUUCAUUUAUUUAAGCUCUUCAACAUUUGAACAAUGAUUUAGGAAUGCCUAUGAAAACAUUAGCUAGUUAACCUGGUUAAAAUACUGGGUUUUGAUAAAUCUUUAAAUACUUAAGUAAAGCUUUGUAUUUAUGUGAUCACAAAGGCAUACAUUUGUAAGUAACGUACUUUGUGACCACAUUCCCAGUUAGCUGCACAAAAACCCGACAUCAGAUAUUUCUUAGAUAUAUUCAGCCUUUUUUGAAACCAGUUUUUUUUUUCUGAAAUAUUUUUUGUUUGUAAAGAUGACCAUGUUAGAAAGGCAGUGAUGUGCUGUACCAUGGUGUACUUUCGAUUCAGAAUCACCUAUAAUUUUCUUUGUGUUAGAGACUCUUUUCCUGGUUGGAUUACAGACUGAAAGGCUGACCCUCAUUAUUUAAAGAGGCAUUAAAACUUUAAUGCAAAAAAUAAGUUUAUAUUCUAAGAUCUUCCACAUAAACCAUCAAAGAACUAGGAAGCAGCAUCAUUCUCCUAUGUGUCCUCCUACAGAGGACUCUUCUGCCCCACCAUAUCUUUUAACUGAAGCAUACUGGAAGGAACAUUGCAGUACUAUAACAUGUAGCUAUAAAGAGGUGCAAAUAUCCAGGACCUGGUACUUACCAAGUUUCCUUUUAUUGUAAUUUUCUUGAGAAAGAGAGAAACUUGUUCUAUCUGGCAAUUUAAGUAAAUAAGACUACUGUCUUCCUUUUAGUAUUAUAAUGGUCGAUAAUUCGGGAUAAAGUUGUUAAAGCAGGUCAGGGAAUCAGAAUAGAAUUUGGAUUCCUGCAGGGUAACACCUGACUGCUUACCCCUGAAGUGCUACAAUUGCAGUACAGAGAUGUGGCAGGGUCUUGUUAAAGCUUUGUACUACCUUCCCUUAUUGACACUGUAUCUCAUGUUCCAUAUUUCAGGCUCUUAUUCUAGUUCUUCACAUGUUUCUUUCUCAUAUAACAUUGUUAGCAGAAUAUCCUAAGUGAAGAAAGGCAGUGGUUUUGAUCAGUAUCUUAUUCCUCAAACUCUGUAUUUAUGCAGAAUAAAACUAGGAAUGGAGUAAAUAUAUGGUUUGGACACAGAAUGCAUGGCAAGGUUUGUGCUGGAAUACUGCACUUGUGGAGAUGUGAGAUUAGAAAAGAAUUGAUAGGAUAAAAGACAGAGUUUUGUUACAGAGUUGUACUGGGAAACUAGCAUAGCAUCUGUCCUCUGCACCUUGUUCUAAGACUUAUAAAGUCCAUUUCUUCAACUAAAAUAAACUCAGGUAACAAAACAUAAUUCAGCACCUAUUCUAAUGACAUCCUCUUCAAGCGAACUGGAAUAUGAUACUUCCGUAGAGUAGGAGGACAAGUUACAUCAUCUGGAUUUUUCACAUAUGUUGUUGAUUUAAAAGGACUGACUAGUUAGUUGUUGAUGGGUAGUGCUUGAAUUCAAGUAUGCUAGACAGCUUUUAAAAAGGGGGGAGGGGGAAGAGAAGCAGACACAUUUUUUUCCCAUUGAAACUGUCAGGAUGAGCAGACACACAGCAGUCUUUAACUCACAUUCAACAAAGUUCUAUUAUAUUCAUACUUCCUAUCAUGCAGUUCUGCAAGUUGGGCUGAAAAAAAAAAAUUUGGUCAUCUCAAAAAAAAAAGAGUAUUAUUACAGUACUCCUGGAGGGGAAAUGACUGGAAGAUGAAUACAGUGAUCUUCUUUCAGAAACCCCCAGUUAUUUAAACAAGCAUCUUACAAAAAUCUAGGCACAGUUGUCCAAAGAAUAAAAAACAAAACAAAGGAUUGCCAAGAACCACUAG